rnacentral:rRNA from 1 species
CCUACGGGUGGCAGCAGUAGGGAAUCUUCCACAAUGGACGAAAGUCUGAUGGAGCAACGCCGCGUGAGUGAAGAAGGGUUUCGGCUCGUAAAGCUCUGUUGGCAGUGAAGAAAGAUAGAGGUAGUAACUGGCCUUUAUUUGACGGUAAUUACUUAGAAAGUCACGGCUAACUACGUGCCAGCAGCCGCGGUAAUACGUAGGUGGCAAGCGUUGUCCGGGGUUAUUGGGCGUAAAGCGAGUGCAGGCGGUUGAUUAAGUCUGAUGUGAAAGCCUUCGGCUUAACCGGAGAAUUGCAUCAGAAACUGUGGAACUGGAGUGCAGAAGAGGGAAGCGGAACUCCAGGUGUAGCGGUGGAAUGCGUAGAUAUAUGGAGGAACACCAGUGGCGAAGGCGGCUCUCUGGUCUGCAACUGACGCUGAGGCUCGAAAGCAUGGGUAGCGAACAGGAUUAGAUACCCUAGUAGUC